CCUACGGGAGGCUGCAGUGGGGAAUAUUGCACAAUGGGGGAAACCCUGAUGCAGCGACGCCGCGUGAGUGAAGAAGUAAUUCGUUACGUAAAGCUCUAUCAGCAGGGAAGAAAUACUGACCUUACGGUCAGCAGACGGUACCUGAGUAAGAAGCCCCGGCUAACUACGUGCCAGCAGCCGCGGUAAUACGUAGGGGGCAAGCGUUAUCCGGAUUUACUGGGUGUAAAGGGUGCGUAGGCGGAUCGUUAAGUCAGUGGUAAAAUUGAGGGGCUAAACCCCUUCCCGCCAUUGAAACUGGCGUUCUUGAGUGGAAGAGAAGUAUGCGGAAUGCGUGGUGUAGCGGUGAAAUGCAUAGAUAUCACGCAGAACCCCGAUUGCGAAGGCAGCAUGCCGGCUUCCGACUGACGCUGAAGCACGAAAGCGUGGGGAUCGAACAGGAUUAGAUACCCUUGUAGUC
rnacentral:rRNA from 1 species